GACGAACGCUGGCGGCGUGCUUAACACAUUCAAGUCGAACGGAAAGGCCCUGCUUUUGUGGGGUGCUCGAGUGGCGAACGGGUGAGUAACACGUGAGUAACCUGCCCUUGACUUUGGGAUAACUUCAGGAAACUGGGGCUAAUACCGGAUAGGAGCUCCUGCUGCAUGGUGGGGGUUGGAAAGUUUCGGCGGUUGGGGAUGGACUCGCGGCUUAUCAGCUUGUUGGUGGGGUAGUGGCUUACCAAGGCUUUGACGGGUAGCCGGCCUGAGAGGGUGACCGGCCAAAUUGGGAAUGAGAUACGGCCCAGACUCCUACGGGAGGCAGAAGUGGGGAAUAUUGCACAAUGGGCGGAAGACUGAUGCAGCAACGCCGCGUGCGGGAUGACGGCCUUCGGGUUGUAAACCGCUUUCGCCUGUGACGAAGCGUGAGUGACGGUAAUGGGUAAAGAAGAACCGGCUAACUACGUG
rnacentral:rRNA from 1 species